rnacentral:rRNA from 1 species
GACGAGCGCUGGCGGCGUGCUUAACACAUGCAAGUCGAACGGUAAGGCCCUUCGGGGUACACGAGUGGCGAACGGGUGAGUAACACGUGGGUGAUCUGCCCUGCACUUCGGGAUAAGCCUGGGAAACUGGGUCUAAUACCGGGUAGGACCACUGCCUGCAUGGGUGGUGGUGGAAAGCUUUUGCGGUGUGGGAUGGGCCCGCGGCCUAUCAGCUUGUUGGUGGGGUGAUGGCCUACCAAGGCGACGACGGGUAGCCGGCCUGAGAGGGUGACCGGCCACACUGGGACUGAGAUACGGCCCAGACUCCUACGGGAGGCAGCAGUGGGGAAUAUUGCACAAUGGGCGCAAGCCUGAUGCAGCGACGCCGCGUGAGGGAUGGCGGCCUUCGGGUUGUAAACCUCUUUCAGCACCGACGAAGCGCAAGUGACGGUAGGUGCAGAAGAAGGACCGGCCAACUACGUGCCAGCCGCCGCAGUAA